GUCGCCACCUAGCGGUUUCUGCGCGUGCCCACGCACCGGCCGGCGGCGGAAGACGCCUGCGGGGCGGGUGCGGGAGCGCCUCCUGGUGGACAACGCAGGGGCCAGCACAGAGGCUGACAGCCAUUGUUUCAACCUCCAUGAGCUGAACCUCCAGGAAGCAGCUUCCUGGGGAUUUAAAGAGACAAUACUUGUGCUCCCACCCCCAUGUCUUUUGGGAACCAGACAUUUAAGGAAAUCUUUGUCGGGUCACUGGUUGAUUACAGAAAUGAUGGAACAGAAACUUUAGUGACCACAAACAACAAUAUAUAUCUUGCAAAAAUAGUUUUAAAAAGUCAUAAAUAGAUGACCCAGUCCUCAUAAAGUACAAGAAAUCUCUGAGGUAUUGAAGAAUUAGAUAUCCAGUUAGUGCAACAUGGUAUUUAAAAUUUCUAGCUCUCAACAAACAAUUACAAAACAUACAAAAAAAGAGGAAAACAUGGUCCAUUCACAGAAAAAAAGAAGUUUACAGAAAUCUUUUCUAAGAAAGACCAGACAUUGGAAUUAUUAGUCAAUGGCAUUAAGUCAACUGCCUUAAAUAUGUUUAAUGAGAUAAGGAAAACCAUAAACCAAGAACUAAAAGGAAUCAGUAGAAUUAUAUAUGAACAAAGAAAGAAUAUCAAUUAAUAAAUAGAAAUAAAAAAGAACUAAACUGAAAUUCUGGAGGUGAAAACUGUAAUAACUGAAAUGAAAAAUUAACUAGAGGCAUUCAACAGCAGGUUUGAGCAAGUGGAAAAAAGUGUCUAUGAACUUGAAGACGGGGCAAUUGAAAUUAUCCAGUCUGGGGAGCACAAAGACAAAAGAAUAAGUAAAAGUGAACAGAGGCUAAGGGCCCUGUAGGACACCAUCAAGUGAAUCAAAUUUACAAUAUGAGAGUUUCAGAAAGAGUAGAGAGAGUUGGGAAAGAAAGAACAUCUGACGAAAUAAUGACUGGCAAAUGUCCCAAAUUCGAUGAAAGAAAUGAAUCUACAGAUCCGAGAAACUCAACAAACCUCCAAGGAUAAACUCAACAAACUCCUAGGAUAAACUCAAAGAGCUUCACCCCAAGACAUAUUAUAAUCAAAGUGUCAAAAGUCAGAGACAAAGAGAAUCUUGAAAACAGAAAAAGAGAAAUGAUUAGUCACACACAAGGACUCCUCAAUAAGAUUAAGAGCUGCUUUCUCAUCAGAAACCAUGGAGACCAGCAGGCAGUGGAAUGAAAAAGUGCUGAAAGAAAAAACUCAAGGAAGAAUUCUCUCUCUGGCAAAACUAUCUUUCAAAAAUGAAGGAUAAAUUAAGACAUUCACAGAUAAAAUCUGAGAACAUUCACUGCCAGUAGACCUGCUCUCACAAGAAAUGCUAAUGGGAGUCCUUGGGGGCUGAAAUGAGAGGACACUGGACAGCAAAUUGAAGCCAUAUGAAGAAAUAAAGAUCUCUAGUAAAGAUAACUGCAUAGAUUAAUAUAAAAACAGUAUUGUUGCAUUUUUGGUUUGUAACUAUUUCCUAUGCAGUUCAAAAGACAAAUACAUGAAAAGUAAUUAUAAAUCUUUUAACAGGCAUACAUGUAAAAUGUGUAAUUUAUGGCCAGGCACAGUGGCUCAUGCCUGUAAUCCCAGCCCUUUGGGAGGCCAAGGUUGAGCGACCACUUGAAGCCAAGAAUUCAAGAUCAGCCUGUGCAAUGUAGAGAGACCCCAUAUCUAAAAAAAAAAAAAAAAUUAAAUUAAAAAAAAAUAGCCAGGCAUAGUGGCACAUGCCUGUAGUCUCAGCUACUCAGGAGGCUGAGGUGUGAGGAUUGCUUGAGCCCAGGAGUUUGAGGGUGCAGUGAUCUAUGAUCACACCACUGCACUCCAGCCUGGGUGAACAGGCAAGACCCUGUCUCAAGGGAAAAAAAGAUAUUAAUUGUGAUAACAGCAACAUAAAGGUAGGAGGGGAUGAACCGUAUAGGAGCAGAAUUUUUGUGUGCUGUUGAAGCUAAGUUGGUAUUAAUUCAAACUAGACUGUUAUAAAUUUAGGAUGCUACAGUGGACAGAAUGUUUAUUUUUUUUUUUUGUAGAGACAAGGUCUUAUUAUGUUGCUUAGGCUGGUCUCAAACCCCUGACCUCAAGCAAUCCUCCCACCUCAGCCUCCUAAAGUGUUAGGAUUACAGAUGUGCGCCACCAGGCCUGGCUUGAAGUUAUUUUUAUCAAGAUCAAUUUUUUAUGUAAAUGACUUGAUAUUUUGGGGAUCCACAUCAUAAUUUACUGACUGUAGAUUCUGCUAUUGUAAGCUUUCUUUAGGGAUUAUUAUUCCUACCAAGUCAAUUUUCCUUGGUCAAAUUAUGCAUAUCAAAAUGUUAAAUAUACUUUUCUUCCAUCAAUUUUCAGUCAAUGAUAAAUUUUACCACGUGCAGUUUUAACCAUUAUCAGUUUUUGCUAUAGACUGUUUGUGUCCCCCCAGAUUCCUGUUUUGAAACCUGUCCCCCAGUAUGAUGGUAUUUGGAGGUUUGACCUUUGGGAGGUGAUAAGGUUGUGAGGGUAGAGCCCUCAUGAAUGGCAUCAGUGCCCUUACAAAACAAGCCACAGAGAGCUCCCUUUCUGCCUUCUGCCAUCUGAGGACACAGUGAGAAGACAGCUAUCUGUGAACCAGGGGGUUGGCCCUCACCAGAUACCAAAUCUUCUGGGACUUUGAGCUAGGACAUCCCAGCUUCCAGAACUGUGAG
rnacentral:lncRNA from 1 species